rnacentral:misc_RNA from 1 species
UAUCGUCUCACACUGUGACGAAAAAUAAAUAAGAAACAAUGAUAUCAAGGUUAGAACUAAUCUAAUUGUAAAAUCUAAAACGAAAAAGAGUGAAAGGUAUACAAUCCUUAUUCUCUAAAGCCAGAUGCUGUGUGUAUAUUUCACUUAUCUUCCCUUUACUAUAUAUUACUCCAUCAAAAUUGUGGGAUUGUUUUAGGUAGGCUGGGUGGGGCGGGGAAGCGAGCAAAUGAGACACCUUUUUUAUGGCGCCAUCAACCCUCCAAUUGUGUGAAAGAGAGACUCUGCCCAAUCGUCUUUGAAAAGCAACUUUUGCAGUGUCUGUAGCACGUCGUAUUCAGGGUCCAGUUUCCGCUGCCAUCCCUCCAACACCAAAGUAGUCACAAUCACAGUGCAAAUGUUGCCAUCAAUGUUCACCCGAUGACGUCUAACUUGCUCAAGCAAUUGUUGCAUGCAAUCUGCCGGAUGAAUGCCAUCCCCUUCAGCUGUCUUCCAGAAGUCAAAAGUUCCCUCCACAUCCUUGAUGAAUUCCUCUGGGUUCGGACAGCUCUGUUGUUUAGAUAGUCCAAGAGUACUUUCUGCAGCAGUGCGGCCAUCUCGAAGUGCCACAGCCUUAAAGAACUCCAGCAGGAGGAGUCUGUCCUUAUUGGAUAGCUCAGCAGUCAUACCCACAUCAAGG